rnacentral:rRNA from 1 species
UACGAAGGGGGCUAGCGUUGCUCGGAAUGACUGGGCGUAAAGGGCGCGUAGGCGGAGUGCUUUGUCGGGCGUGAAAUUCCAGGGCUCAACCUUGGGGCUGCGUUCGAGACGGGCAUUCUAGAGUGGAGAAGAGGGUCGUGGAAUUCCCAGUGUAGAGGUGAAAUUCGUAGAUAUUGGGAAGAACACCGGUGGCGAAGGCGGCGACCUGGUCUUUUACUGACGCUGAGGCGCGAAAGCGUGGGGAGCAAGCAGG